rnacentral:miRNA from 1 species
AACGCUGCGACCUAGAUGUAUUCUUGGAGUCACCCAGAAAACCAUCUGGACGCAGGGAC